UACGUAGGGGGCUAGCGUUGUCCGGAAUCAUUGGGCGUAAAGCGCGCGUAGGCGGCCCGGUAAGUCCGCUGUGAAAGUCCAGGGCUCAACCCUGGAAAGCCGGUGGAUACUGCCGGGCUAGAGUCCGGGAGAGGCGAGUGGAAUUCCAGGUGUAGCGGUGAAAUGCGUAGAUAUCUGGAGGAACACCGGUGGCGAAGGCGGCAUCCUGGACCGGUAUUGACGCUGAGGCGCGAAAGCCAGGGGAGCAAACGGG
rnacentral:rRNA from 1 species